rnacentral:lncRNA from 1 species
CAAGUGCAGAACGUGGAAACAAGACCCAAGUGAAAAACAGCAUAAGCAUACAAAAAAGAAGAAUAUGAUAUGAAAAAAAAAAUAUAUAUAUAUAUAUAUACCCUAAUUCCUCAAAUGAAAACCGGUAGUCAAAUAAACGCUGGGCCUCUUAUAGCGGCCAGGGGCUUGGUCAACACGGACAAAUAAAGGCCGGUCUUAAAUAAAGGCCAGGGAAAAUUUGUGCAGCAGAGUCAGAUAACAAACGUACAUGCCCACUGCCUGAGCGUUUCUCGUUCUCGAGUCAAGAACCGGUUGCAUUGGUUUUUGGAUCACCAGUACACUGAACCGAGAAGCGUUUCUGUCAGACGCAUUCGAUUUCAUGAUACUGCACAUGUGUGAUUCAGCGUGAAGCAGACUGACACAGAGCGUGUCUGAACCGAACUGAUUCUCUUGGUGAUUUAUUCUGAACUAAUUCUGUGCUAGCGUUAUGAUCUCUGUCCACUGGAACGCUAUCGCUUUUAAUUUAAAACAGGUUAUUUAAAACAUUUACUUAUCAAACAAAUGGAAUUAGAAAUAAAGGCCUGCCUCUAAUAAAAGCCUGCUUCAAAUUAAAGCCUGUUACCUUCUGCAUGUCAGAGUUUUGCACUGACACUGUUUGUCUUGUGUUUUUUUUUCUUGUGUAUGUCUUGUUUCAGCACAUGGCCUUUUUUAGCCUUGUUAAUCUAAUUGUGCUCACCUGUUCCUCAUGUGUUUUCCUCCCUACUUCUAAUGCCCCUUACCCUUUUGUGUUUGCUGGUUCGUGGCCCUCUGUCACCGUCUUGGUCUCUCUGUCUGUGGAUGUGGCUGAAUAUGUGUCCGUGUAUCCCUGCCUGGGUUUUUGCAGAGCUUUGUCCUGUCUAGUCUUGUGAUAGAGUUUCUGACCUGUCUCUGUGUGUCCUGCCCUGGUUCUUCCUGCCUGGCACUUGGUCUGCUUCAGAGUCAGUGGUCAACAAGUGUCUGAGCUCUGCUCUGUGUGGUAUUCUCCAUCAGCCUGGUCUUCCCGUCCCCUCUGUUGCCAAAGUAUUCUGCCAGUUGUUUUCUGAAGCGGUCCCAGUGGCCUUCUCUAGCUGUUCCUGUGUUCCUGUUGUGGUAUCUCUUGUGCACUUCACUACCCUCUUGUAUCAGUCUGUUUUGUCAAUAAACCCUUGGUAUCUCACACUGCAAUAGGGUCCUCCUUAAUAGACAUGUAUAUUUUUUUAAAUGUGUUUAAAGUUUUGAUUCAUGCUUAUUAUUAUUAUUUUUUUUAUAUAUAUAUCCAUGACUGCAAUACAUAUAACGGGAAUUUUAUCCCAUAACAAAGGACUUCAAAUCUGACAUUUUAUCAUGCAACCGUUAAAUAUUCAUGUAAAACGAAAGUGAACACUUUUUUUUUAUUAUUAUUAUUUAUUUAUUAUAAUUAUCUGAGCAUUUAUCCCUUACAUGAAUCUCUGUGUAAAACUUCCAAAUAACCAGCUCUUCUGUUCUCAUCAUCAGGUUCAAACUUCUGCUGCUCUUCUGGGUUUUCAGUUACAGUGGUGAGUAUACAAUACAGUAAUUUUUGUUUCUAAAUGGUAUCAGAUUUAUAUUUUCAGUUCCGGGAGAGUGAUUCUAAUCUAGCUGAUCGUGUUAGGAAUCUUUCAUUGACGUUCUCCGGGGAGGCUGUUUAAAAUUAAUAAGCUCUUUUUAGCACCUUAUUGGGCUUAAAUUGUCAAAUACACACAGG